rnacentral:rRNA from 1 species
UACGUAGGGUGCGAGCGUUAAUCGGAAUUACUGGGCGUAAAGCGUGCGCAGGCGGUUCGUUGUGUCUGUGGUGAAAGCCCCGGGCUUAACCUGGGAAUGGCCAUGGAAACUGGCGAGCUGGAGUGUGGCAGAGGGGGGUGGAAGUUCCGCGUGUAGCAGUGAAAUGCGUAGAGAUGCGGAGGAACACCGAUGGCGAAGGCAGCCCCCUGGGCUAACACUGACGCUCAGGCACGAAAGCGUGGGGAGCAAACAGG